rnacentral:rRNA from 1 species
UACGUAGGGUGCAAGCGUUUGUCCGGAAUUAUUGGGCGUAAAGAGCUCGUAGGCGGUUUGUCGCGUCGAAUGUGAAAACCCGGGGCUCAACCCCGGGCCUGCAUUCGAUACGGGCAGACUAGAGUUCGGCAGGGGAGACUGGAAUUCCUGGUGUAGCGGUGAAACGCGUAGAUAUCUGGAGGAACACCGGGUGGCGAAGGCGGCAGUCCUGGACCGGCAUUGACGCUGAGGCGCGAAAGCCAGGG